AAUGAACGUUGGCGGCAUGGAUUAGGCAUGCAAGUCGAGCGAGAAGUGUAGCAAUACAUGGAAAGCGGCGGAAGGGAGAGUAAUACGUGGGAAUCUGCCCUUAGACCUGGGAUAGCAGCGGGAAACUGCUGGUAAUACCAGAUAAUGUCUAUGGACCAAAGGUGUGAUUCCGUCUAGGGAUGAGCCCACGUCCUAUUAGCUAGUUGGUAGGGUAAUGGCCUACCAAGGCGAUGAUGGGUAGCGGGUGUGAGAGCAUGAUCCGCCUCACUGGGACUGAGACACUGCCCAGACACCUACGGGUGGCUGCAGUCGAGAAUCUUCGGCAAUGGGCGCAAGCCUGACCGAGCGAUGCCGCGUGCGGGAUGAAGGCCUUCGGGUUGUAAACCGCUGUCGAGGGGGAGCAACUUCCAUAGAGUUAUCUUUAUGGAUUGAGUGAUCCCUGGAGGAAGGACGGGCUAAGUUCGUGCCAGCCGCCGCAGUAAAAC
rnacentral:rRNA from 1 species